AUUGAACGCUGGCGGAAUGCUUUACACAUGCAAGUCGAACGACAGCACGGACUUCGGUCUGGUGGCGAGUGGCGAACGGGUGAGUAAUGUAUCGGAACGUGCCCAGUCGUGGGGGAUAACGUAGUGAAAAUUACGCUAAUACCGCAUACGAUCUAUGGAUGAAAGCGGGGGAGCGCAAGACCUCGCGCGAUUGGAGCGGCCGAUAUCAGAUUAGGUAGUUGGUGGGGUAAAGGCCCACCAAGCCAACGAUCUGUAGCUGGUCUGAGAGGACGACCAGCCACACUGGAACUGAGACACGGUCCAGACUCCUACGGGAGGCAGCAGUCGGGAAUUUUGGACAAUGGGCGAAAGCCUGAUCCAGCCAUUCCGCGUGCAGGAUGAAGGCCCUCGGGUUGUAAACUGCUUUUGUACAGAACGAAAAGGUUUCUACUAAUACUAGGAGCUCAUGACGGUACUGUAAGAAUAAGCACCGGCUAACUACGUGCCAGCAGCCGCAGUAA
rnacentral:rRNA from 1 species